rnacentral:rRNA from 1 species
GACGAACGCUGGCGGCGUGCUUAACACAUGCAAGUCGAGCGGUAAGGCCCUUUCGGGGGUACACGAGCGGCGAACGGGUGAGUAACACGUGGGUGACCUGCCCUCAGCUCUGGGAUAAGCCUGGGAAACCGGGUCUAAUACUGGAUAUGACUCCAUGACGCAUGUUGUGGGGUGGAAAGCCUUGUGCGGCUGAGGAUGGGCCCGCGGCCUAUCAGCUUGUUGGUGGGGUGANGGCCCUACCAAGGCGACGACGGGUAGCCGGCCUGAGAGGGCGACCGGCCACACUGGGACUGAGACACGGCCCAGACUCCUACGGGAGGCAGCAGUGGGGAAUCUUGCGCAAUGGGCGAAAGCCUGACGCAGCGACGCCGCGUGAGGGAUGAC